AGCGAACGUUUGCGGCGGGCUUAACACAUGCAAGUCGAACGGGCUGUUCCUUCGGGGGCAGUCAGUGGCGCACGGGUGCGUAACACGUAGGUAAUCAACCCUCUGGUUGGGGAUAACACUUCGAAAGGAGUGCUAAUACCCGGUAUGGCGCAGCGGUCUUCGGAUCGCGGCGAGAAAGACCCGCAAGGGUUGCCAGAGGACGAGCCUGCGGCCCAUCAGCUAGUUGGCGAGGUAACGGCUCACCAAGGUGAAGACGGGUAGUUGGUCUGAGAGGAUGAUCAGCCACACUGGAACUGAGACACGGUCCAGACUCCUACGGGAGGCAGCAGUGGGGAAUAUUGCGCAAUGGGCGAAAGCCUGACGCAGCCACGCCGCGUGAGCGAUGAAGGCCUUC
rnacentral:rRNA from 1 species